AGAGUUUGAUCAUGGCUCAGGACGAACGCUGGCGGCGUGCCUAACACAUGCAAGUCGAACGGAGAAUCAGCAAUGAUUCUUAGUGGCGAACGGGUGAGUAACGCGUAGACAACCUGCCUUCUAGAUGGGGACAACACUGCGAAAGUGGUGCUAAUACCGAAUGUUGUAAUGAGCCUGCAUGGGCUUAAUACUAAAGGUGGCCUCUAUAUAUAAGCUAUCACUAGAAGAUGGGGCUGCGUCUGAUUAGCUAGUUGGUGAGGUAAUGGCUCACCAAGGCGAUGAUCAGUAGCCGGUCUGAGAGGAUGAACGGCCACACUGGGACUGAGACACGGCCCAGACUCCUACGGGAGGCAGCAGUGGGGAAUCUUCCGCAAUGGACGAAAGUCUGACGGAGCAACGCCGCGUGAGUGAAGAAGGUUUUCGGAUCGUAAAGCUCUGUCUUUGAGGACGAAUGUAUUUAAUGUGAAUAAUGUUAAGUAAUGAUGGUACUCGAGGAGGAAGCCACGGCUAACUACGUGCCAGCAGCCGCGGUAAUACGUAGGUGGCAAGCGUUGUCCGGAAUUAUUGGGCGUAAAGCGCGCGCAGGCGGGGAUAUUAAGUCUGUUUUAAAAGUUCGGGGCUCAACCCCGUGAUGGAAUGGAAACUAAUAUUCUUGAGUGCAGGAGAGGAAAGUGGAAUUCCCAGUGUAGCGGUGAAAUGCGUAGAUAUUGGGAGGAACACCAGUGGNGAAGGCGACUUUCUGGACUGUGUCUGACGCUGAGGCGCGAAAGCCAGGGGAGUGAACGGGAAUUANNUACCCCGGUAAUCCUGGCCGUAAACNAUGGGUACUAGGUGUAGGNGNAUCNACCCCUUUCUGUGNCCGGAGUUACCGCAAUAAGUACGCCGCCUUGGGGAGUACCNACCGCAGGUUUGAAA
rnacentral:rRNA from 1 species